AUUGAACGCUGGCGGCAGGCCUAACACAUGCAAGUCGAUCGAGCGCCGGACGUGUGAGUAAUGUAUGGGGACUGCCCGAUAGAGGGGGGUAACUACUGGAUACGGUAGCUACUACCGCAUACUAUCGGAUAACCCAUAUGGGAUGAGCUAGUAGGUGAGGUAAUGGCUCACCUAGGCGACGAUCCCUAGCUGGUCUGAGAGGAUGAUCGGCAACACUGGGACUGAGACACGGCCCAGACUCCUACGGAGGCAGCAGUGGGGAAUAUUGCACAAUGGGCGCAAGCCUGAUGCAGCCAUGCCGCGUGUAGGAAGAAGGCCCUAGGGUUGUAAAGUACUUUCAGUCGGGAGGCGUUACCGACAGAAGAAGCACCGGCUAACUCCGUGCCAGCCGCCGCGGUAAUUC
rnacentral:rRNA from 1 species